rnacentral:rRNA from 1 species
CCUACGGGCGGCUGCAGUGGGGAAUAUUGCACAAUGGGCGCAAGCCUGAUGCAGCCAUGCCGCGUGUGUGAAGAAGGCCUUCGGGUUGUAAAGCGCUUUCAGCGGGGAGGAAGGCGGUGAGGUUAAUAACCUCAUCGAUUGACGUUACCCGCAGAAGAAGCACCGGCUAACUCCGUGCCAGCAGCCGCGGUAAUACGGAGGGUGCAAGCGUUAAUCGGAAUUACUGGGCGUAAAGCGCACGCAGGCGGUCUGUCAAGUCGGAUGUGAAAUCCCCGGGCUCAACCUGGGAACUGCAUUCGAAACUGGCAGGCUAGAGUCUUGUAGAGGGGGGUAGAAUUCCAGGUGUAGCGGUGAAAUGCGUAGAGAUCUGGAGGAAUACCGGUGGCGAAGGCGGCCCCCUGGACAAAGACUGACGCUCAGGUGCGAAAGCGUGGGGAGCAAACAGGAUUAGAUACCCUAGUAGUC